AAAUUGAAGAGUUUGAUCAUGGCUCAGAUUGAACGCUGGCGGCAGGCCUAACACAUGCAAGUCGAGCGGAAACGAGUUAUCAGAACCUUCGG
rnacentral:rRNA from 1 species